CGAUAACAAUAUGCACCAACCCAAUUUCGGGGAAUCUUGCUGUGCACCUCGCCCCGUUGCCGUUCCGAUCACCAAGACAACAACGAGAAAACAUGACUAAGCGAUGGCCAUCCUCCAAAUCAAGGACGAGAUCGAGCUUACUCGAGAAGCUGAAGUCAGAUUCGCCUCUUGUAGCUUCUCUCCACCAUGAAGAGUAGCCGGAAAGCGAAGUUGAAUGGCGUCUGGCAC
rnacentral:lncRNA from 1 species